CUACCACAAAGGGACGAGUAGGAUCAGGAUGAACGAGGAUGGGUCCGGAGGUGAAACGUCACUUGAGCUCUAUGGUCGCCCUGGCAGCCUCGGGAUUCCAGCAAAAACCUGCUUGAGUGAGGUGGGACAGGGCCAUAUGUGUUCCCGGAAGGGUUUUUGGAGAAGAUCAGGAUGUCGUCGAGGUAAACAAAGACGAACCGAUUCAACAUAUCCCUAAGAGUGUCAUUGAUCAAUGCUUGAAAGACUGCCAGUGAGUUCGAUAUCCUGAAGGUCAUGACUAAAUACUCAAUGACCACUCCCUGUUUCUCAUCAGAUUUUAAGCAUUGCGGAGGUCCAGUUUGGUGAAGAAUUGGGCUCCUAGGGCCAACUCCAAGGCGGCGGACAUCGGGUUUGUUGAACAUGAGUGGAAAUGAAUCUCCAGCACACUGGUAGCACUUUAGAUGUGUGAGUAUAACUUUUCCAGGUGAGUUGAACCUGCCCGUGGGUGCGGUGGGGAUUUUCCUGGGAGGUCUACUGAUGAAGAGGUAUACGCUUGGCGUUGUGUCUGGAGCCCAGCUGUCUUUCGUCACCUCCUUCAUGGCCUACCUCCUCCUCCCGCUGCAGUCUGGCACUAAGUGUGACAACGUUCAGGUGGCUGGUCUGACCGUGUCCUACAAUGGGUAAAAAUGCAUCGGAUUGGUUGGUUGGUGGGUUGAUAAAAACAAAAGGUUUGAUCAGUGAGUUCGAGGGAGAGUUAGACCAAAACACACAUGGGCUUGUGCCAGGGCUCCCUCUUGUGGGAAUACACAGUAUGGUUGUUACUGAGCCAGGAUUCCUGGCUGUUUUGUCACUGUGCCUAUGUCAAUGAUAGUUCAGCAACAAUUAUUUAAACAUCAUUAUUGCCAGCCAUUCUUUCUGUCCCCCAGGUCCCCUGGUGUAAGAUGGCAGCGUGUUGUCAGAGUAUAACAGUGACUGCUCCUGCUUGGCUGGGGAGUGGGACCCUGUGUUUUCAGACAACGGCAUCACCUACACCUCCCCCUGCCUCGCAGUCUGCUCCAGCUUUACAGGAAGCUGGAGCAGGAUACGGCAAGAACAUGGCGCAGCAGCACACUGCCCUCCAAAGCCUGCAAAAAAAAUCGCUGGACUACCCCUUUCCAAGCUCUGCAUGGAACAUCCAGUGUCACAUCCUUGGUGACGUGACGUGUGGGGUGACAUCCGAGAUGACCACAGCAACAACCUGUGGAAAGGGAAAAAAUAGGUACAGAAUGUAAAGAAAUGCAAACCGUAGGUUCUAAACACUGGCCAGCUGAAAGGUUCUACUAAGAUGUCAUGACAAAUGGCACCUGUCAGAGUGCUCUCUAUAAGUGUUACCCACCUGCUUGGAUGUCAGCUGGCAGAGUGGCGAAGACAGCAAUCGUGAGAGUCCUUUCUUCAGGUAUGACGUCCACAACCUCCAAGAGGGAAGAGAUAGGCUCUGCCUCUGUAUUAGGGGUGUUGUCCACAACAUUCAGGUGGAAAGAAGCCGAAUCUGCCUCUCUGAUACGGGUGAUGUUCACAACCUCAAGGUGUGAAGAAGCUGGAUCUGCCUCUGUGUUAGCGGUGAUGUCAACAACCUCCAGGUGGGAAGAAGCCUGGUCUGCCUCUGUUUUAGGGGUGAUGUCCACAACCUCCAGGUGGGAAGAAGCCGGGUCUGCCUCUGUGUUAUGGGUGACAACAACAAUCCUGAUGAGCUCUACUACUACAAGGCACCAAGAUGUCAACACAACAGGCACCUGUAGUGUGGUGGAGACGGCCACCGCGAGGAUAGGGGGGACUGGUAGGGUGGCUGCAGGGGGCUGGAAGCAUCUCUGCACCGCUUCCGCCACAAAGGCGCAGACAGAUCUCAUAUAAAAAGGGCCCUGGAGGUCAUCCGUGGAGAAGGACUGACUAAUUCUCCCGAGGAUCGACUGCACAGAUUCAAAAGCAGCAGCCCGGGAGAAAGGGAUGUGAGGGGAAGGGUCCUUUAACAUGCAGGAAAGCUUCUCCACUUUGGCCGCCACCAUGUCCAUGGCCAUCCCGCUUAUUAGGAAUGGGUGCUCUGAAUGACCUUCCUCUGGCUGAAGCCAGGAGGAGCCUGGGCACCACCUCCACCACCACCUGGGAUGGGCUGAGCAGGUUGCUACGGGGUUCAUUGGACUGCUCGCCCAGAUUGCUCCUCACAGCUCUCUCCACGAUGCUGUGGACCUUAGGGUCACUGAAAUCAACAAAAAGAAGAAGACAAAGCUAAACGAUGUGCAAUGUGCUCACAGAGAACACUUUCUUAGUCUGUUUCUGCAUAGUUCCAGAUGUGUAGAUAAAUGAAUCAAGUCAUAUGCAGGUCAGUACAUGGAACUCACGUAAGCUGGCGAGUUGGUGUGCAUGGAACGGCGGAGUUUGCAGAAAGCCUCGUGCUCUAUGUUCAUCAUUUUUAGGCAAGUGUUUACGUCCCAGGCCUGCCGUAGGAAACAGGAAGUCCCAUUAGUGUAAUUUCACAACAGAUCUAUUCUGCUGUACUAACUAGUUGUUGAAAGGCUAGUAAAGAGCUCACUCUUAUGUCUCUAACUCUCAUUCUCUUGCCAGACGAGCGAGGUCGUUCCCCUCCUCCAGGGUUUCCUUUCACACCCUUCAAAUAAAACACAGAGCAAUUCAACUUUCAUGGCUUCCGAUUGUUCUGUUGUUUAUUUUACCCACACCUCCUGGAGUGUUGCUGGUGGCAGGGAAUGGCAGUGAAGGUGAGUGCUGACGUGGUACUCACCUCUCCCUAAGGGAUUUUUUUGCCCUGAGACACCAGCCAGUCGAUCAUGUGCUCCGUGGUGACAUGGGGCGGGACCUGGCCUUGAUUCUGGAGCAGCAGAUAGUGGACCAUGAGCUUCUUCUGCAAGAUGAGGUAAGGUGUG
rnacentral:lncRNA from 1 species